GGUGAGUGUUGGCAACACUGGCAGCAGCAGACGACGUCAACAUUUCCUCCCAAAAAAUUUGGUUAAAUUGUAAUUUUUCUGUGAACCAGCGAUGUUUUUGACCUGAUGUUGAAGACCAACGUCUCCAGGAUCAUUGUUGGAUGGUCCUUUGUGAUAGCACUAGGUGUUGGAGGAUUUGUUUGGACAAAAAAGCAAAUUGACUAUAACAGGCGAGAGGCAAUGAAAGUUCGACA